GGUUGCUGCGGUUGGCGGCGGCGGCGGCUGCCUUGUUGCUUGGAGGAAUAUUGAAGAAUCUUUCCUCACUGCCAAUGGGAACAAGGCACUCGUUUCAUUUUCAGAGUGUCAGUGUCCGGGAGGAUCGAUGGGAACACUGUGUUACAAGUGGAGACGAGGGGGCUGGCUGUCAACCGUUGUAAAUCUCUGCUCCACUUGCACAGAUCGUUUGCUAGGAGGAAUGACACGCAGCAUGCAGUGCGGAGAAUCGAUGCAGCCAAACAAGACGUCAGCACAUAUAGGUCUUGGUCAGAGUCCUGUCACCUGUGAAGGUUGUAAACGCAAGGAUUAGUCUGAAUCCUAGUCUACUUUCUCAUCACCACCGUAACUGUGAAUGGUUGCUAAAUGAGAAAAUGACAACUAGAAGUAUUACAACAUCGCCUUUCUGUUCAAGCUCCAGAAAACCUGAUGUCCUCCAUAUGUUUGGGGCUACAAUUCUCAUAAUUCCUUCUUUUUGGUCAUGCAGCCUUGAGUAAACAGGAGUCAAAAGGCACCAGGUUGCCCACCUUUCUCGUUAAUACUAGCUUCCCAUAUGGAAUAGCUAAAUCUGAGAUGAUCAGAUGGAAAAGGGGAAAGGGUUCCUGCAGCUUUAAUAUUUGUACACAACAGGGGAUUUCAGUCAGCACAGCUACCCAUGGGCUAACAUCUCUUCCGGUACACAAAUAUUAAAAGUGCAGGAGCCCUGUUCUUUUUCAUUUCUGCCUUCCAUCUUUUUAUCCCUCUAACACAGAAGUAUUUAAGGGCACUGAGCAAUUUGUGCAAAAACAUCCAAUGCUAAAACAAAGUUAUCUAAUUUGAAUGGUUGUGCUCUGCAAUGGUUUCUAGACAUAUUAAGGCUGAUGAAGCACUGCAGUGUAUUUAUGUAGGAUUACCAUAUGUGGGCUGCAAAAAUUCGGAUGAUCAUGAACAAGAGAGGGAAAACACUAGCUCUUUGCUACCCACUUGUGGUCAUCUGGAUUGUUGCAGCCCAGAUGCCCUAAUUUAUGCCCACUGAUUUCCCCAGGGAAGAGGAAAAGGAUUGUCUUAGGUAAGUGAGGCCUGGUGAAGACAGAAUGGGGCUUCCACAAUUUAAUAACUGAGAAAUGGUAAAGCAGAAAAGAGCAGAUUGUAUGAGAUUUUGACCUGUUAAUUCUGACAGCUCUGGUAAGGUCACAAAGGGGCUAUAUGAGUACAUAGAAUCACACAUCCCAUUAAACUAUAAUGAGACAUUUGUUUUGAGCUUAGCAUGCUGUAUGAAUGCAGCAAAUGUCAAAGGGCUGCUCAGGAUCCACCACCAAUAGCUUUCUACUGAUUGGCCAUAAAAAUCUUUAGUUCACAAGGUGGACUUCCAGGGAAGAAAUGGAGAACUGAAGGCAGCUCCACUAAGGAUGGAGCCAACCACCAUGGUAGAACGAAGAGCAGUGAAUGGACCAACUCUUUGUGAUUCCUCUCCGGACAAGGAGAGGACUGGGCUUGCCCACAAGUGCUUCUGACAGCUGCUGUUGUGGGUUUAGAGCGCUGGGAAACAAGGGAAGCCAUCAUAGCCCAAACUGUGGUUCAGUGCCUUUAAAAAGGACACAGAGUUCGUAGACUUCCUUUCUUAAUUACUUUUGGAAAUUGCUUGUUAACUGCUUUUUGGAUAUUAGGAGCCUUCAAAAUUGCAAGUUUUACUACACUGGAUGUGUUUCCUUCAAUUCUUAGAAAAAUAAGUUUUAUACAAGUUUAAGGACUUAAAAAAAAUUUU